GAUGAACGCUGGCGGCGUGCUUAACACAUGCAAGUCGAACGAAGCACUUUGAAAGCUUGCUUUCGAAGUGACUGAGUGGCGGACGGGUGAGUAACGCGUGGAUAACCUGCCUCACACAGGGGGAUCACAGUUAGAAAUGACUGCUAAUACCGCAUAAGCCCACGGUACCGCAUGGUACAGAGGGAAAAGAUUUUAUCGGUGGGAGAUGGAUCCGCGUCUGAUUAGCUAGUUGGUGGGGUAACGGCCCACCAAGGCGACGAUCAGUAGCCGACCUGAGAGGGUGACCGGCCACAUUGGGACUGAGACACGGCCCAAACUCCUACGGGAGGCAGCAGUGGGGAAUAUUGCACAAUGGGCGCAAGCCUGAUGCAGCGACGCCGCGUGAGUGAAGAAGUAUUUCGGUAUGUAAAGCUCUAUCAGCAGGGAAGAUAAUGACAGUACCUGACUAAGAAGCUCCGGCUAAAUACGUGCCAGCCGCCGCGGUAAGAC
rnacentral:rRNA from 1 species